GACGAACGCUGGCGGCGUGCUUAACACAUGCAAGUCGAACGAUGAAGCCCUUCGGGGUGGAUUAGUGGCGAACGGGUGAGUAACACGUGGGCAAUCUGCCCUUCACUCUGGGACAAGCCCUGGAAACGGGGUCUAAUACCGGAUAACACUCCUCAGGGCAUCUUGAGGGGGUUAAAAGCUCCGGCGGUGAAGGAUGAGCCCGCGGCCUAUCAGCUUGUUGGUGGGGUGAUGGCCUACCAAGGCGACGACGGGUAGCCGGCCUGAGAGGGCGACCGGCCACACUGGGACUGAGACACGGCCCAGACUCCUACGGGAGGCAGCAGUGGGGAAUAUUGCACAAUGGGCGAAGGCCUGAUGCAGCGACGCCGCGUGAGGGAUGACGGCCUGGUGU
rnacentral:rRNA from 1 species